GGCAGACCCUGAGGAACGGCGGCGGGCCGGGAACGGGGACGGCGCCGCUAAGGCGGCCGCGAUGGGCCAAACGCCGCCGUCAACCGAGCGGCCAGCGCCCCCUGCCGGGCCCGGCCUGUACCCGCACCCGUACCCGCCCCCCCGGCCGGCGGCCGCCCUGUCAGGGAGCGGGAUCGCCCCCGCGCCGACCCCCGCGGGACGCGGCGAAGCCUCGACGAGCCCCUAUGGGCGGAAUAAUAUACUCGUAAUUAACCGGCGGUGCCUUGGGGAAGCCUGACUCCUCGCGCUUUGGAAAACUGCGACACCCGAGGCUGGCCCCGGCUUUGGAGCCCACAGGAGCCCUGUGAGCCCUCAUUACAGCUACGGGAGACGCAGCCGGUACGUCCAGUGGAGUCUGGAGAGCUGCUCGGGUGACCGAAGGAAGGUGUCUGCUUCAGGGUGAAGCUACUUGCUCCCUAGGCUCCGCCGGCUGUGUUGAACUGGCUCGCUGUAACGGUUAAGUGCGACACCUAACUCUACCAGCAUGCCAAACACCUAAUAUACAGUGAGCCAAAUUCCUGAUUCCAUUCAGAUGCGGUACAAUCGGGCUGAAAUUAUUCAGGCACCAAAUUCCACUGAUAUUUUCAAGUCCACGCAGAAAUCAGAGUUUACUGAAAUAAGUCAUGUGAGGUGUUCAAAAGGUGGUUCUGCUCUGCAUCACAGGUGUGCAUGUCAGGAAGAAACAGAACAAGGGGGGGGUGUGCGUGUGUGUACACUCGACAGAACUGUGGGCCUCAAAGUCACAUUGAGCUUACUGUGGUACGAGAUGGAAAACAAAUGCCUCUCUGGAACCAGAAAAUGUAGCUCAUCAGCUAGAAGCCCAGAAUGGGAGGUGAUUACAUUACAUCUGGAGCUGAGCCAGGUCACCAGCUGGUGGCCACCGGCAGCCACAAGCACCAGCUCUUUGCAUUUGCUCACCUCCAUCCCCAGCAAGGGCCUUUUCAUGCCUCUUUCACUGCCGGGCCUGGGUCCCUCUUAGCCUUAACCACCGUCCAACAACAGUCUCUGUUUUGUCCCAGCAAGUCACCAGGAAUGUGCUGCAUCUGCCACCUUCUGGAUUCAUGCCAUGCCCUUCAAAUGUGGGUGAGAGGAGAACAAUGGCACAGUACAUCUUGCAGAGCUGCAUGGAGGAAGCCCAAGAAGAAAAGUGCUUGCUUGGACAUACGGAGGCAUGCUUGCUUUCUUCACAUUGUAUCUUCGUGUGAACAUACACACUGACAGUUUUACACUGAAAGUCUUAACUAUCGCUUCCCUUCUAACAAUCGACCACGGGAUCCUAAGCACUGACACCACAUGCACCCAGAUGUUGGCAUCUCUGUGUUCAGGGGCAGCACCAAGCACUUUAUCAGAAGCUUUGUCUCUAAAUACUUGUAAAACACUCCCUUAAAUUUGUUGUCCUUAAAUUCUCUGUCACAGGAACCGGGCUUUUUAUUUCAAUGAAGGUUGGGAUGCUGUGAAAAACAAGAACAUAUGGUGGCAUAAUCAGGAACUAGAUCCUAAUGCAAACAUAUCAGGAAAAUAAGUUUGAGAGAGGCAAAUUGAUUCUGUUGUUUCUUUAUUGUUGAUGCUGAUGUCAGUUUUUACGUUUACUAUUCUACGUUCGUGUUCUAUUUGACUUAGGUGAGGCCCCAUUCUUGUGAGAAUUAAAAAUCACAUUGGCGCAGCUGCCCUUGGCUGAGCAGCUGUCACUAGUUUUUAGACUGACCAUCUGAAGGGCAUUAAUUUGCUAUAAGGUAAAUUGUGAAACAUCAGUAAGUGUCAAUAAAAUGACAAGAUUUAAGCAUAGUGCUCAGAAGACCCGAUUAAGGAAUCCAUUAGGAAGGCAAAAUAUUAUGUAUAACACUGCAUAAUGCAACAUACUUGCAUCUCUGUACUCUUUUAUGCAUACUAGAGAUCAAGGACUAUCCAUCCAUUUCAGACUGAAUUUAUGUCAAAAAGUACCUUUGUGAUCUGGAGUAUAUGCUAAAUAACCCAAGAUAACUAUCAGCGAUAGCAAAAAAUUCAAGCCUUUAAGAUGCAGCACGUGAGUUGCAUUGUUCCAUAUAGGUAUGGCUGUGCUGAAAUUGCCUAUUCUGAAAAUUAGAUUUUAGAAGAUAUUUAUAGGGGCGUUUGAAGGUGGGGUUUUUUCCUCUGUAACACCUAUUCGUAUUUCUCAGAUACCCGCCUCCUCUUGCUUCACAUCCAUAUUGUAGUCCUAUCUUUGUAUUUCCACACAGUGCAAAGGUUAUUAAAUGCUGAUAUUUACACUCAGAGGCAAAUCUGUGUUUAAGGGAAUAUGUGGUGACCCACAUCAUGAUAUCAGGCCUGUAACAUAACACUGCUAAGAGAUAAAAUUAUAACGCUUCAAGCAGUUCUCCCCAGCUGUGCAUCUUACUUGUAUUUGAUUUAUUUAAAUGUGAGCAUGAAGGAGUAGUCUUGUCUUUUUUCCCCCUAACUCUAAUUAGCCAUACCAGAAGAAGUUUGUGUUUGUAUGAUAUUAUUGAAAUACAAUGAUCCCUUAGAAUAACUUGCAAAAAGUUGAAAGAUAUUCACCCCAGAAAUGUACUUGAAUGCUAAUUGCAGUAGAAGCAUGUCCUCCUCCAGGAAAUAAACAUUCCCUGGGUUUCUUUUUCUCUCUAAAAAUGUUAGUAAUGGAAAAGUUAGGUGACAAAAAUCUAUAUCAUACAAACGUGUAAAAUUUUUCCAAGAUGGUGCUUUUAAUUUGCCAUCAGAAAACUAAACUGGUCUUCAUUAUCAGAAAGAGGAACUAUUGUAAAAAACAAUUAACUGUGUUGGUAAAUCAUAUUUAAAUACUACAGAGCUAUUAGAAACACAAAAAAUGUGGCUUAUUACAAUUAUUCUUGAUCCUAUGCUAUACUUUUUCCAAUGUGGGCAAUUUUCUGUGUGUUGCCACAAGCGCUGUUAUGCUAGGGAGAUUUCUAAAACUGAGGAUUAGAUCUAGGCUAAAACUGAAAUAUAAAACUAAUUAAAUGCAAAAGCCAGGAUUCUUAAUGUUCUAUUAGCUCCCUUCUCUGCACGUAGGAAAAUUUUCUUGUUCUUGCUGAGUGCAAUUUAAUAUACUUCAAGAUUUUUUAAAAACACCUCGAGUACUUUAUAAAUUGGGGUCAGGGGCACUACAAAAAUCCGUGUUUGUGGGGCCGGUUGUAGCAGAAAGAAAUCUCUGUUGGUGUGAAGACGAUGUUCUGGGCCGGCUCUCGGCUGCCGUUCUGGGCUCUCGCUCUCCUCACCCAGGAGGCAGGAUGGUGCCGUUUUCCAGUCAGCUGGCACAACAGUGAGGGUGGUUUUCCACUGAGCUCCCAGGACAGACUUGACCGGGGUGUUAAACCAGAGAAACAAGCACCGACAUUUUGUGCCACUGUAAUUUUUGAAGUAAACCCCAAAAUGUCUGGAUGCUGAAGCUUCUGUGGGAUUUUUGAGCACUCCCUUCCGCCCACCUGAGCUUGGUGCCUCCAUGCUCUUGGGCAGCUCGGUGGCUCCUCCCCAGCAAAUGCACCUGCACCCAGGGGAAAUGAGACAGCAAGCAGGAAUUCGUCGGUAGGGAAGGAACUGGAAAGCCUUAGCUGAAGGGGGUGUCUAAACCACAACAUUAAUCUUUUCCAUUUUAACAGGUGUAUGCUGGAGCUCUUGGGGCAUGGGCAACCAGCUGCGCUGGGCAGCUGGAGUCUAGCGAUGUCUUACCUGCUCACAUCCUCAUCUGGCAGUUGCACUGAAGGUUAGGUUAAUGCCAUUUUUGGCAUGUUAAUAAUGUCAAGAAGUAAUGAUCAAAUGCUAAAUCAGCUCAUACUAAAACUCAAGUUUAUUGUUUUGUCCCUACUGUAAACUAAUUUGGCAAGCUUUUCCAGUAGGAGAAAAAUAAACUAGACAAGU